CCAUCGCCAUCGCCAUCGUCAUCGUGAAUACCACCGAUCUUUUCACGCCGCCGCCGUCUCCUCCUCUACCGAUCUUCACAGAUCCACCGCCGCGAGAUCCAGAGGCUUCAUCGCUAAGAUGAACUCUGCUCCAUUGAUGCUCCGUCUCGCAUUGGCUUCAGAUGAGUGAAGUUGUCUCCACAAUUCCAAGCAUGGCUCCUUGCUCUAGUUAUUUUACCAACAAGGUCAAAUAUGAUGAUACGUGUUGGAUUAAUCACCUACUUGGCUCUACUAUCUGUCUUAAUCACCUAAAUUAAAUAUACAUAUGGCUUUCAGCUUUGCUUCAGUAAUUGCUUUGAGGGUUGGACAGCAGCUGGCUUCAUCACUAGUUUUUUAUUUUAUUUUAUUUUACUUUU